rnacentral:rRNA from 1 species
AACAAACGCUGGCGGCGUGCCUAAUACAUGCAAGUCGAACGGGGAAAGCUUUCGGGUGAGCGGCGGACGGGUGAGUAACGCGUGGAUAAUCUGCCUUAGAGUGGGGGAUAACUAGUCGAAAGAUUAGCUAAUACCGCAUAAGACCACAGGAGCUGCGGCUCAAGGGGUCAAAGGUUUUUCGCUCUAAGAUGAGUCCGCGUAAGAUUAGCUAGUUGGUGAGGUAACGGCUCACCAAGGCGACGAUCUUUAACUGGUCUGAGAGGAUGAUCAGUCACACUGGAACUGAGACACGGUCCAGACUCCUACGGGAGGCAGCAGUAGGGAAUAUUGCACAAUGGAGGAAACUCUGAUGCAGCGACGCCGCGUGAGUGAUGAAGGCCUUCGGGUCGUAAAGCUCUGUCGCAGGGGAAUAACACAAUGAAGGUACCCUGUAAGAAAGGAUCGGCUAACUUCGUGCCAGCAGCCGCCGUAACAC